CACACCUGUUGCCUUACGUCAAGAAUAUUAGCUGUGCGUUCAACUCAAAAGGCCCAAGAUUUCACAUCGAGUACAUUUAUGACAGAUGCACACAAGCAUGCAUCAAAGGCUGCAUCAUACGGGCCCGAAGACGCUGCCAGAUGCAAGUGAAGCUAACUCUGGAUCUAAGCUGCCUUGAGGCAAAUAUCCAGGACGAGCUGCCAAUCAGUCACGGAACUGACACUUCCAGACAGACAACCAUUCAGUCAUCAGCACCGCCAGUAUAUCUUCGGUCUUCAGCGAACAUAUAGGUACAAUCCUGGUGGAUUGGAUGAUUCUACUUCCGGUGGAAUAAGAAGAUGAACAUUAGUCUUCAGAGAUGGGCAUUCCUUCGGUUCUGAUGAAAGGUCCGUCAGUCUGUCACUGAUGGAGGCCCGAUGAUUUAUACUCCGGCUCCCUUCCACUGGGUAGCUCAGCCCCAUUUGUUUUGUUGAUUUUUAAAUUCCUUGUGUGAAUGGUACGUCUUGUCUUUGAAAAAAUAAAAACAUGUAUUUUUGUAUCUGAAUCACGUCUCAUGCUCCCUUUUGUAAUAUGAACCCGAGUGCCGUGUUAAUGGUACGAACACUGAAAUAUUUUCCUGGGUGGUAUUAAAGUCGAAAUUCCCACCUUAAUAGUAUUGACUUCUACUCGUCACACAUUGAUUGUCGU